UACAGAGGGUGCGAGCGUUGUCCGGAAUCACUGGGCGUAAAGGGCGCGUAGGUGGUGGCUUAAGCGUGCGGUGAAAACUCGAGGCUCAACCUCGAGACGCCGAUGGAAACCGCAUGGCUAGAGUCCGGAAGAGGAGAGUGGAAUUCCUGGUGUAGCGGUGAAAUGCGCAGAUAUCAGGAAGAACACCCGUGGCUAAGGCGGCUCUCUAGUACGGUACUGACGCUGAGACGCGAAAGCGUGGGGAGCGAACAGG
rnacentral:rRNA from 1 species